AUAUGCCUACGGGGGGCAGCAGUGGGGAAUAUUGCACAAUGGGGGGAACCCUGAUGCAGCGACGCCGCGUGAAGGAAGAAGUAUUUCGGUAUGUAAACUUCUAUCAGCAGGGAAGAAAAUGACGGUACCUGACUAAGAAGCCCCGGCUAACUACGUGCCAGCAGCCGCGGUAAUACGUAGGGGGCAAGCGUUAUCCGGAUUUACUGGGUGUAAAGGGAGCGUAGGCGGCGAUGCAAGUCAGAAGUGAAAGCCCGGGGCUCAACCCCGGAACUGCUUUGGAAACUGCGCAGCUGGAGUGCGGGAGG
rnacentral:rRNA from 1 species